UACGUAGGGGGCUAGCGUUGUCCGGAUUUAUUGGGCGUAAAGAGCGUGUAGGCGGCCAGGUAGGUCUGCUGUGAAAACUCGAGGCUCAACCUCGAGACGUCGGCGGAAACCAUCUGGCUAGAGUCCGGAAGAGGAGAGUGGAAUUCCUGGUGUAGCGGUGAAAUGCGCAGAUAUCAGGAGGAACACCGAUGGCGAAGGCAGCCCCCUGGGCUAACACUGACGCUCAUGCACGAAAGCGUGGGGAGCAAACAGG
rnacentral:rRNA from 1 species